rnacentral:rRNA from 1 species
UACGUAGGGUGCAAGCGUUAAUCGGAAUUACUGGGCGUAAAGCGUGCGCAGGCGGUUUUGUAAGUCUGACGUGAAAUCCCCGGGCUCAACCUGGGAAUUGCGUUGGAGACUGCAAGGCUGGAGUCUGGCAGAGGGGGGUAGAAUUCCACGUGUAGCAGUGAAAUGCGUAGAGAUGUGGAGGAACACCGAUGGCGAAGGCAGCCCCCUGGGUCAAGAUUGACGCUCAUGCACGAAAGGCGUGGGGAGCGGAACAGG